UACGUAGGGGGCUAGCGUUGUCCGGAUUUAUUGGGCGUAAAGAGCGUGUAGGCGGCCAGGUAGGUCUGGUGUGAAAACUCGAGGCUUAACCUCGAGAUGUCAUCGGAAACCAUCUGGCUAGAGUCCGGAAGAGGAGAGUGGAAUUCCUGGUGUAGCGGUGAAAUGCGCCGAUAUCAGGAAGAACACCAAUGGCGAAAGCAGCUCCCUGGGACGGUACUGACGCUGAGACGCGAAAGCGUGGGGAGCGAACAGG
rnacentral:rRNA from 1 species